GCCAGGGUAGCUCAGUUGGUUAGAGCGAAGGACUUAUAAGCUUUAGGUCGUUGGUUCGAUUCCGACCCCUGGCA
rnacentral:tRNA from 1 species